GCUUUGGUGGCCCAGUGGUUGGAGCGCUCGCCUUGGAUGUGGGAGGUCGAGGGUUCGAACCCUGGCCAAUUUA